UGUUUCGGCAAGGGGGUCAUCCCGACUUACCAACCCGAUGCAAACUGCGAAUACCGGAGAAUGUUAUCACGGGAGACACACGGCGGGUGCUAACGUCCGUCGUGAAGAGGGAAACAACCCAGACCGCCAGCUAAGGUCCCAAAGUCAUGGUUAAGUGGGAAACGAUGUGGGAAGGCCCAGACAGCCAGGAUGUUGGCUUAGAAGCAGCCAUCAUUUAAAGAAAGCGUAAUAGCUCACUGGUCGAGUCGGCCUGCGCGGAAGAUGUAACGGGGCUAAACCAUGCACCGAAGCUGCGGCAGCGACGCUUAUGCGUUGUUGGGUAGGGGAGCGUUCUGUAAGCCUGUGAAGGUGUGCUGUGAGGCAUGCUGGAGGUAUCAGAAGUGCGAAUGCUGACAUAAGUAACGAUAAAGCGGGUGAAAAGCCCGCUCGCCGGAAGACCAAGGGUUCCUGUCCAACGUUAAUCGGGGCAGGGUGAGUCGACCCCUAAGGCGAGGCCGAAAGGCGUAGUCGAUGGGAAACAGGUUAAUAUUCCUGUACUUGGUGUUACUGCGAAGG
rnacentral:rRNA from 1 species